AUCUAGUUGACACGUCCCAAACAGGACGAAACGCAUGUCCUGAAU
rnacentral:hammerhead_ribozyme from 1 species